AGCUCCAAUAGCGUACAUUAAAGUUGUUGCAGUUAAAAAGCUCGUAGUUGAAUUUUGGGUUUUUCAGCGGGGUCCACCUAACGGUGCGUUACUCUUAUGGCAAGCCUUUUUCCUGGACGCCCUGCUGCGUUUAACCGCGUGGUUGGGAAGGUCAGGACAUUUACUGUGAGGAAAUUAGAGUGUUCAAAGCAGGCGUUAUGCUCGAAUAUAUUAGCAUGGAAUAAUAGAAUAAGACGUAUGGUUUUAUUUUGUUGGUUUCUAGAACCGUCGUAAUGAUUAACAGGAGCAGUCGGGGGCGCUAGUACUCAUCAGUCAGAGGUGAAAUUCUUAAACCUGAUGAAGACUAACUACUGCGAAAGCAUUCGCCAAGGAUGUUUUCA
rnacentral:rRNA from 1 species